rnacentral:rRNA from 1 species
UACGGAGGGGGCGAGCGUUAUUCGGAAUUAUUGGGCGUAAAGGGCGCGUAGGCGGCUCGAUAAGUCAAAGGUGAAAUCCCUCGGCUCAACUGAGGAACUGCCUUUGAAACUGUAGAGCUUGAGUCCGGGAGGGGGUAGCGGAAUCCCAGUGUAGCGGUGAAAUGCGUAGAUAUUGGGAGGAACACCAGUGGCGAAGGCGGCUACCUGGACCGGAACUGACGCUG